UGCAGAGUGCGAGUUGGUGCUGCUGCUCCAGGAAGGCCUCCUUGUGCAGACAGGGUAACGGCGUUGGAGAAGACUGUCAGGGAAUUUGCGGAGCAUCCAGGCAAAGUGGUUAUGGUGCCAAAGAUUGGAACAACUUUUGACACGCUCGGAGAAGCUUAUGACUUUUACAAUCUGUAUUCAUGGGAGAAGGGAUUUGGAAUACGAUAUGGAAAGAGCAGGCUAAAUGUUAGCAGGACCAAGUGUAUGCAAGAGAUAGUUUGCGGAUGCGCGGGGAAGCCAAUUGUCGAAAAUACUCGUUCGUGCCGCUGUGAAUGCCCAGCACUCGUCAGAUUACUUCGGUCAAAGGACAAUGGAUGGUACAUAGCAGAGCAUCGAGAUGGGCACAACCAUGCACUUUCCCAAACUUAUGGACAGACAAUACACUGGCCGUCACACAAGCAUAUUGAUGUUUACAGCAGGGACCUAGUGAAGCAGCUGCGGCAGAAUAAUGUAAAUCUUGCUAAGGUGUAUAGCAUUAUAGGCAGCUUCUUCGGGAGGAUGGAGAAUGUGCCGUUCACUAAAAGAGCAUUAAGAAAUUUGUGUGGCAAGAUUAGCCGCGAGAAUUCAGAGGAUGAUGUGAGGAAAACAAUGGAAGUCUUCCAUGAUCUGUGCUCAAAGGAUCCACAGUUUACCUAUCGGGUUCAAGCAGACAAUGAGGGCAGAAUCAUCAACCUUAUGUGGGCUACCGGUAACAGCCGGCUGCAGUAUAACUUCUUUGGGGAUGUGGUUACAUUUGACACGACGUACAGAACAAACCUGUAUGACAUGCCCUUUGGGUUAUUUGUUGGUGUCAACAACCAUUUCCAGAGCAUCAUAUUAGCUGGUGUGCUUGUGAGGCAUGAGACAGUUGAAACCUUUGAGUGGGUCUUCUCAAAGUUUGUUAGGAUAAUGGGCGGUAGUGCACCACAGACAAUCCUGACUGGUAAGAUGGUGCAGAACUAA
rnacentral:rRNA from 1 species